UACGAAGGGGGCUAGCGUUGCUCGGAAUCACUGGGCGUAAAGCGCACGUAGGCGGCUUUUUAAGUCAGGGGUGAAAUCCUGGAGCUCAACUCCAGAACUGCCUUUGAUACUGAGGAUCUUGAGUUCGGGAGAGGUGAGUGGAACUGCGAGUGUAGAGGUGAAAUUCGUAGAUAUUCGCAAGAACACCAGUGGCGAAGGCGGCUCACUGGCCCGAUACUGACGCUGAUGCACGAAAGCGUGGGGAGCAAACAGG
rnacentral:rRNA from 1 species